UGGGAAAGUGUGGAUGAGUUGUACCUUCAUGGACUCGUGGUGUCAGGAGAUGUAGGAACUAGUGAGUAAACACUCUGGUGACAAAAAAAGUGCCAUGGGGCCAGAUUCCUGCUUCCA